CCUACGGGGUGCUGCAGUCGAGAAUCAUUCACAAUGGGGGAAACCCUGAUGGUGCGACGCCGCGUGGGGGAAUGAAGGUCUUCGGAUUGUAAACCCCUGUCAUGUGGGAGCAAAUUAAAAGGAUAGUACCACAGGAGGAAGAGGCGGCUAACUCUGUGCCAGCAGCCGCGGUAAUACAGAGGUCUCAAGCGUUGUUCGGAAUCACUGGGCGUAAGGCGUGCGUAGGCUGUUUCGUAAGUCGUGUGUGAAAGGCGCGGGCUCAACCCGCGGACGGCACAUGAUACUGCGAGACUAGAGUAAUGGAGGGGGAACCGGAAUUCUAGGUGUAGCAGUGAAAUGCGUAGAUAUCGAGAGGAACACUCGUGGCGAAGGCGGGUUCCUGGACAUUAACUGACGCUGAGGCACGAAGGCCAGGGGAGCGAAAGGGAUUAGAUACCCGGGUAGUC
rnacentral:rRNA from 1 species